rnacentral:rRNA from 1 species
UACAGAGGUCUCAAGCGUUGUUCGGAUUCAUUGGGCGUAAAGGGUGUGUAGGUGGCGCCGUAAGUCGGGUGUGAAAUUUCGGAGCUUAACUCCGAAACUGCAUUUGAUACUUCGGUGCUUGAGGACUGGAGAGGAGACUGGAAUUUACGGUGUAGCAGUGAAAUGCGUAGAGAUCGUAAGGAAGACCAGUGGCGAAGGCGGGUCUCUGGACAGUUCCUGACACUGAGGCACGAAGGCCAGGGGAGCAAACGGG